UUAAGGGCGCACGGUGGAUGCCUUGGCACUAGAAGCCGAUGAAGGACGUUACUAACGACGAUAUGCUUUGGGGAGCUGUAAGUAAGCUUUGAUCCAGAGAUUUCCGAAUGGGGAAACCCAGCAUGAGUUAUGUCAUGUUAUCGAUAUGUGAAUACAUAGCAUAUCAGAAGGCACACCCGGAGAACUGAAACAUCUUAGUACCCGGAGGAAGAGAAAGAAAAUUCGAUUCCCUUAGUAGCGGCGAGCGAAACGGGAAGAGCCCAAACCAACAAGCUUGCUUGUUGGGGUUGUAGGACACUCUAUACGGAGUUACAAAGGACGACAUUAGACGAAUCAUCUGGAAAGAUGAAUCAAAGAAGGUAAUAAUCCUGUAGUCGAAAAUGUUGUCUCUCUUGAGUGGAUCCUGAGUACGACGGAGCACGUGAAAUUCCGUCGGAAUCUGGGAGGACCAUCUCCUAAGGCUAAAUACUCUCUAGUGACCGAUAGUGAACCAGUACCGUGAGGGAAAGGUGAAAAGCACCCCGGAAGGGGAGUGAAAUAGAACCUGAAACCGUGUGCUUACAAGUAGUCAGAGCCCGUUAAUGGGUGAUGGCGUGCCUUUUGUAGAAUGAACCGGCGAGUUACGAUUUGAUGCAAGGUUAAGCAGUAAAUGUGGAGCCGUAGCGAAAGCGAGUCUGAAUAGGGCGUUUAGUAUUUGGUCGUAGACCCGAAACCAGGUGAUCUACCCUUGGUCAGGUUGAAGUUCAGGUAACACUGAAUGGAGGACCGAACCGACUUACGUUGAAAAGUGAGCGGAUGAACUGAGGGUAGCGGAGAAAUUCCAAUCGAACCUGGAGAUAGCUGGUUCUCUCCGAAAUAGCUUUAGGGCUAGCCUCAAGUGAUGAUUAUUGGAGGUAGAGCACUGUUUGGACGAGGGGCCCCUCUCGGGUUACCGAAUUCAGACAAACUCCGAAUGCCAAUUAAUUUAACUUGGGAGUCAGAACAUGGGUGAUAAGGUCCGUGUUCGAAAGGGAAACAGCCCAGACCACCAGCUAAGGUCCCAAAAUAUAUGUUAAGUGGAAAAGGAUGUGGCGUUGCCCAGACAACUAGGAUGUUGGCUUAGAAGCAGCCAUCAUUUAAAGAGUGCGUAAUAGCUCACUAGUCGAGUGACACUGCGCCGAAAAUGUACCGGGGCUAAACAUAUUACCGAAGCUGUGGAUUGUCCUUUGGACAAUGGUAGGAGAGCGUUCUAAGGGCGUUGAAGCAUGAUCGUAAGGACAUGUGGAGCGCUUAGAAGUGAGAAUGCCGGUGUGAGUAGCGAAAGACGGGUGAGAAUCCCGUCCACCGAUUGACUAAGGUUUCCAGAGGAAGGCUCGUCCGCUCUGGGUUAGUCGGGUCCUAAGCUGAGGCCGACAGGCGUAGGCGAUGGAUAACAGGUUGAUAUUCCUGUACCACCUAUAAUCGUUUUAAUCGAUGGGGGGACGCAGUAGGAUAGGCGAAGCGUGCGAUUGGAUUGCACGUCUAAGCAGUAAGGCUGAGUAUUAGGCAAAUCCGGUACUCGUUAAGGCUGAGCUGUGAUGGGGAGAAGACAUUGAGUCUUCGAGUCGUUGAUUUCACACUGCCGAGAAAAGCCUCUAGAUAGAAAAUAGGUGCCCGUACCGCAAACCGACACAGGUAGUCAAGAUGAGAAUUCUAAGGUGAGCGAGCGAACUCUCGUUAAGGAACUCGGCAAAAUGACCCCGUAACUUCGGGAGAAGGGGUGCUCUUUAGGGUUAACGCCCAGAAGAGCCGCAGUGAAUAGGCCCAAGCGACUGUUUAUCAAAAACACAGGUCUCUGCUAAACCGUAAGGUGAUGUAUAGGGGCUGACGCCUGCCCGGUGCUGGAAGGUUAAGAGGAGUGGUUAGCUUCUGCGAAGCUACGAAUCGAAGCCCCAGUAAACGGCGGCCGUAACUAUAACGGUCCUAAGGUAGCGAAAUUCCUUGUCGGGUAAGUUCCGACCCGCACGAAAGGCGUAACGAUUUGGGCACUGUCUCAACGAGAGACUCGGUGAAAUCAUAGUACCUGUGAAGAUGCAGGUUACCCGCGACAGGACGGAAAGACCCCGUGGAGCUUUACUGUAGCCUGAUAUUGAAAUUCGGCACAGCUUGUACAGGAUAGGUAGGAGCCUUUGAAACGUGAGCGCUAGCUUACGUGGAGGCGCUGGUGGGAUACUACCCUAGCUGUGUUGGCUUUCUAACCCGCACCACUUAUCGUGGUGGGAGACAGUGUCAAGCGGGCAGUUUGACUGGGGCGGUCGCCUCCUAAAAGGUAACGGAGGCGCUCAAAGGUUCCCUCAGAAUGGUUGGAAAUCAUUCAUAGAGUGUAAAGGCAUAAGGGAGCUUGACUGCGAGACCUACAAGUCGAGCAGGGUCGAAAGACGGACUUAGUGAUCCGGUGGUUCCGCAUGGAAGGGCCAUCGCUCAACGGAUAAAAGCUACCCCGGGGAUAACAGGCUUAUCUCCCCCAAGAGUUCACAUCGACGGGGAGGUUUGGCACCUCGAUGUCGGCUCAUCGCAUCCUGGGGCUGUAGUCGGUCCCAAGGGUUGGGCUGUUCGCCCAUUAAAGCGGUACGCGAGCUGGGUUCAGAACGUCGUGAGACAGUUCGGUCCCUAUCCGUCGUGGGCGUAGGAAAUUUGAGAGGAGCUGUCCUUAGUACGAGAGGACCGGGAUGGACAUACCUCUGGUGUACCAGUUGUCGUGCCAACGGCAUAGCUGGGUAGCUAUGUGUGGACGGGAUAAGUGCUGAAAGCAUCUAAGCAUGAAGCCCCCCUCAAGAUGAGAUUUCCCAACUUCGGUUAUAAGAUCCCUCAAAGAUGAUGAGGUUAAUAGGUUCGAGGUGGAAGCAUGGUGACAUGUGGAGCUGACGAAUACUAAUCGAUCGAAGACUUAAUCAA
rnacentral:rRNA from 1 species